GACGAACGCUGGCGGCGUGCUUAACACAUGCAAGUCGAACGAAGAGCGAUGGAAGCUUGCUUCUAUCAAUCUUAGUGGCGAACGGGUGAGUAACGCGUAAUCAACCUGCCCUUCAGAGGGGGACAACAGUUGGAAACGACUGCUAAUACCGCAUACGAUCUAAUCUCGGCAUCGAGGAUAGAUGAAAGGUGGCCUCUACAUGUAAGCUAUCACUGAAGGAGGGGAUUGCGUCUGAUUAGCUAGUUGGAGGGGUAACGGCCCACCAAGGCGAUGAUCAGUAGCCGGUCUGAGAGGAUGAACGGCCACAUUGGGACUGAGACACGGCCCAGACUCCUACGGGAGGCAGCAGUGGGGAAUCUUCCGCAAUGGACGAAAGUCUGACGGAGCAACGCCGCGUGAGCGAUGACGGCCUUCGGGUUGUAAAGCUCUGUUAAUCGGGACGAAAGGCCUUCUUGCGAAUAGGGAGAAGGAUUGACGGUACCGGAAUAGAAAGCCACGGCUAUCUACGUG
rnacentral:rRNA from 1 species